UGCAUAUCAAAAGCGGAGGAAAAGAAACCAACAGGGAUUGCCUCAGUAACGGCGAGUGAAGCGGCAAAAGCUCAAAUUUGAAAUCCUUCGGGAGUUGUAAUUUGUAGGUUGGGAGACCCCGCGGCUAGUGGCACCAAGUCCCUUGGAACAGGGCGCCUUAGAGGGUGAGAGCCCCGUAGGUACCACAACACCGUCUUGUGUCUCCUCUCCAAAGAGUCGAGUUGUUUGGGAAUGCAGCUCAAAGUGGGUGGUAAAUUCCAUCUAAAGCUAAAUACCGGCGAGAGACCGAUAGCGAACAAGUACAGUGAUGGAAAGAUGAAAAGCACUUUGAAAAGAGAGUGAAACAGUACGUGAAAUUGUUGAAAGGGAAGGGCUUGCAAGCAGACACGGCCUUCGUGCCGGGCCAGCAUCGGUUGCUAGGGGUGGAUAAGGAACAAGGAAUGUAGCUCCUCGGAGUAUUAUAGCCUUGCGCGAUACACCCACUGGCGACCGAGGCCUGCGGUAUUCUUUACCUAGGAUGCUGGCGUAAUGGUUGCAAGCCGCCCGUCUUGAAACACGGACCA
rnacentral:rRNA from 1 species